GUGCUUGCUUCAGCAGCACAUAUACUAAAAUUGGAAUGAUACAGAGAUCAGCAUCGCCCCUGCACAAGGAUGAUGGGCAAAUUCAUGAAGCACUCCAUAUUUUU